rnacentral:rRNA from 1 species
AUUGAACGCUGGCGGCAUGCCUUACACAUGCAAGUCGAACGGCAGCACGGGAGCAAUCCUGGUGGCGAGUGGCGAACGGGUGAGUAAUAUAUCGGAACGUGCCCAGUCGUGGGGGAUAACGCAGCGAAAGCUGUGCUAAUACCGCAUACGAUCUACGGAGGAAAGCGGGGGAUCGCAAGACCUCGCGCGAUUGGAGCGGCCGAUAUCAGAUUAGCUAGUUGGUUAGGUAAAGGCUCACCAAGGCGACGAUCUGUAGCUGGUCUGAGAGGACGACCAGCCACACUGGAACUGAGACACGGUCCAGACUCCUACGGGAGGCAGCAGUGGGGAAUUUUGGACAAUGGGCGCAAGCCUGAUCCAGCAAUGCCGCGUGCAGGAUGAAGGCCUUCGGGUUGUAAACUGCUUUUGUACGGAACGAAACGGCGAGCUCUAAUACAGUUUGCUAAUGACGGUACCGUAAGAAUAAGCACCGGCUAACUACGUGCCAGCCGCCGCCUAAAAC